UUCCUUUAGUAAAUGUUAAAGGUAUUUUCUGCCCUAUGAUUUAAUUUAAAUGGCUGCAGUAUUCUGACUGUACAAAGGUAGCAUAAUAAUUAGUUUUUUAAUUGAGGACUUGAAUGAAAGGAUAAAUGAGGGAUUUGUUUUAUUAUAUUUAAUAUUAAAAUUUUAUUUUUUGGUAAAAAAGCUAAAUUGAAUUUUAGGGACGAGAAGACCCUAUAGAACUUUUAAAUUAAUUUUAUUAAUUUUAUUUUAGUAUUUAUUUGAUUUAAUUUAAUUGAUUUUUUAAUUGGGGUGAUUGAUAAAUUUAAAUGACUUUAUUUAUUUAUAUCACUUAUAGGUGUAUUUUUUGAUCCUAAUAGGAUUAUAAGAUAAGUUACCUUAGGGAUAACAGCGUAAUUUAA
rnacentral:rRNA from 1 species